ACAGAGAUGGUAUGCAGAGUAAGAAGAGUGAUUUAAGGGGAGAGAAAUCAUAACAGGGGUUGGUGGAGCAGAAGAGGGCGAAGGAAGACUUGUGGGGAGCUGCGAGGAAUAGAUUUUGGGGUAUGUUACUGUUUUAUGUGUGAUAUCAGUUCAUAAUUUACUGCAGCGGUCAGUUCUCUACUUUCUAUGUACUAGGUUAAUUCUAUUUGCUAGCCUUAAGUGUUUUUUCUAUAGCAACUAAAUAUUGUGAAAGUAACCCUGAAACAUACACACAUCUACUAAAUGCAAAAUUGUUUCUCUGUUGGUACGAACAAUCAUGUAGAUUACUGCAUGUAGUUUCGUUUUGCACACAACAUACUCUCCAGUAGUGCCGAAAUUAGAAUCUCAAUCCCUGUCCAUUAUACAAGAUGCAAAAGAGUUCAGAAUAAGAUAUUCAUCAUCAUAUUCACACAUUUUUGGUUGUAAUAUAUAUUUUGUAUUUGUGUACAGGUUGACACAUUACACAUACAUACAAUAUGUCUGACUUAUGCAGAAGAAAAGGGACCCUUCAUAUAAAUUAUUUGCAUGCUCAUAGUUAUGAACUUAAUACACUUUGCCUGGCAUUCAUAACCAUUAUACAUCCUCCUGCCCAAAUUUGUUGUCCUACAUAAUAGUGUUCCACUUUGCGCCUACCACUGGUAGCUGGAAAUUAGAUAUAAUAAUAAUCAGUUUCCUUGCUAGAUUUGUUUCCUUAUAGGAUAUCCUGUCGAUUUGAUCUAUUUUUGGCUAGAGCACAUGGGAUCAAACCAGAGGUAAUCAAUUUUCUAUGUUCACCUGAUUAGUUAUAAGGAAUUUAUUACCUCUGUUUUAUUUCUAGGAUACCCAAACCAGUGGUAACGUUUUUUAUGGCUUUGAAAUUCUGUACAAGGUAUUCUCAUGUCUAAAUACUAGAAUUGUUUGUUCAUUGCUAAAUUGUUAAUGAGGGGUCCAUGUAGUGCUCUCAGUGGAGACGCUAGACCAUCUGAUGUUCAUUUAGACAUUUCUAUUCAAACUUUCAAAGUGAUUGUUUUCUUUUUGUGUGUCCACACAGUUGUUUGUGUGCAUCCAAUAUAAAACUUGCUAUGAAUUUGCACCACCUACACCCUUUUUCCAUGUCUUAGUCUAUAUGAAUUACCCACUUUAUAUACCGCAAAAAGAAAUUACCCACUUUAUAAUAACUCACAUGUUAAUUAAAAGGAAAAAGAUCUGAACCAUCGACACUCUAUAAGUUAAGUUGUUCAGCUAAAAUUUAACAAAGAGAUAUUUGAUUACAUGGAUCUCUAAUUUUUCUGCAGUGUUGUAAUUAUAUUGUCUUGGGUGUGUUGUUGUACGUUCCUUGUAUCAUGUUGACUUGCUCCUUGAUCAAUAGGGAUGUGGAUACAAAAUUCCGUUUUCCACUACUUAUAUUAUCCUCAUUGGACCUUAAGCUAUAAUCAUCGGCUGUUGUUGUGUGUCUGCCUGCCUGGCAAUGUUUCACCUCUAUUUUUGACCUACUGUUGACUUAUUUGGAACCUGAGAAAGAAUUAUUUUACAUGUUAGAGUACUCUCAUAUGUUCGAAGUCUUAAAACCAGCUGAGAUAAUGAAAUAAUGCCAGGUAAUUACUCGUGGUUUCAAGGUUGCGCAAAGGAGAGGAGGCAUGGUUAUAGGUCCUCGACAACAUCUGCGCCUCAUAG
rnacentral:lncRNA from 1 species